rnacentral:tRNA from 2 species
UGGGGCGUGGUGUAACGGCAGCACUACUGCCUUUGGAGCAGUCGGUCCAGGUUCGAAUCCUGGCGCCCCAGCCA